rnacentral:rRNA from 1 species
CAUGAAGCUGGAAUCGCUAGUAAUCGCGGAUCAGAAUGCCGCGGUGAAUACGUUCCCGGGUCCUGUACACACCGCCCGUCACACCAUGGGAGUCGGAAAUGCCCGAAGUCUGUGACCCAACCUUAGGGAGGGAGCAGCCGAAGGCAGGUCGGAUGACUGGGGUGAAGUCGUAACAAGGUAAC